rfam:Streptomyces scabiei 87.22 complete genome
CACCGAGUCCGCGGUUCCGGGAGCCACCGGAACCUGGUGCACAAGGGA